CCGAAGGCACCCCCCCGAUUUCUCAGGGUUCGCAGGAUGUCAAACCCUGGUAAGGUUCUUCGCGUUGCAUCGAAUUAAACCACAUACUCCACCGCUUGUGCGGGCCCCCGUCAAUUCCUUUGAGUUUCACACUUGCGUGCGUACUCCCCAGGCGGAACACUUAACGCGUUGGCUACGACACCGAGGGGGUCGAUUCCCCCGACACCUAGUGCUCAUCGUUUACGGCCAGGACUACAGGGGUAUCUAAUCCCUUUCGCUCCCCUGGCUUUCGUCCAUGAGCGUCAGUUAUGGCCCAGCAGAGCGCCUUCGCCACUGGUGUUCUUCCCGAUAUCUACGCAUUUCACCGCUACACCGGGAAUUCCCUCUGCCCCUACCACACUCAAGCCUUGUAGUUUCCAUCGCUUAAAUGGAGUUAAGCUCCACGCUUUAACGACAGACUUACAAGGCCGCCUGCGGACGCUUUACGCCCAAUAAUUCCGGAUAACGCUUGCCACUCCCGUAUUACCGCGGCUGCUGGCACGGAAUUAGCCGUGGCUUAUUCCUCAAGUACCGUCAGUUCUUCUUCCUUGAGAAAAGAGGUUUACAGCCCAGAGGCCUUCAUCCCUCACGCGGCGUUGCUCCGUCAGGCUUUCGCCCAUUGCGGAAAAUUCCCCA
rnacentral:rRNA from 1 species